UCCGGACUGGCCCAGAGAGGCGGGCAACUGCCACUCAGGGCCGGAAAGCUCUCCAAACUCGGUCAUUUAGAGGAAGUAAAAGUCGUAACAAGGUCUCCGUUGGUGAACCAGCGGAGGGAUCAUUA
rnacentral:rRNA from 1 species